UACGUAGGUGGCGAGCGUUGUCCGGAUUUACUGGGCGUAAAGAGCGCGCAGGCGGUCGUUCAAGUCGCGUGUGAAAGCCCCCCGGCUCAACUGGGGAGGGUCACGCGAUACUGAUCGACUCGAAGGCAGGAGAGGGUAGUGGAAUUCCCGGUGUAGUGGUGAAAUGCGUAGAUAUCGGGAGGAACACCAGUGGCGAAGGCGACUACCUGGCCCAUUCUUGACGCUGAGGCGCGAAAGCUAGGGGAGCGAACGGG
rnacentral:rRNA from 1 species